AUUGAACGCUGGCGGCAGGCCUAACACAUGCAAGUCGAACGAGUGGCGGACGGGUGAGUAAUGUCUGGGAAACUGCCCGAUGGAGGGGGAUAACUACUGGAAACGGUAGCUAAUACCGCAUACCAUCAGAUGUGCCAAGAUGGGAUUAGCUGGUAGGUGGGGUAACGGCUCACCUAGGCGACGCGCCCUAGCUGGUCUGAGAGGAUGACCAGCCACACUGGGACUGAGACACGGUCCAGACUCCUACGGGCGGCAACAGUGGGGAAUAUUGCACAAUGGGCGCAAGCCUGAUGCAGCCAUGCCGCGUGUGUGAAGAAGGCCUUCGGGUUGUAAAGCACUUUCAGCAGGGAGGCGUUACCCGCAGAAGAAGCACCGGCUAACUCCGUGCCAGCAGCCGCGGUAAUAC
rnacentral:rRNA from 1 species